rnacentral:rRNA from 1 species
UACGAAGGGGGCUAGCGUUGUUCGGAAUUACUGGGCGUAAAGCGCACGUAGGCGGACGUGUCAGUCAGGGGUGAAAUCCCGGAGCUCAACUUCGGAACUGCCUUUGAUACAGCACGUCUUGAGUCCGGAAGAGGUGGGUGGAAUUCCUAGUGUAGAGGUGAAAUUCGUAGAUAUUGGGAAGAACACCGGUGGCGAAGGCGGCCCACUGGCGGUACUGACGCUGAGGUGCGAAAGCGUGGGGAGCGAAACAGG